rnacentral:rRNA from 1 species
AAGUAGAUAGCUUAACCUUCGGGGGGGCGUUUACCACGGUAUGAUUCAUGACUGGGGUGAAGUCGUAACAAGGUAACCGUAGGGGAACCUGCGGUUGGAUCACCUCCUUACCUAAAAUGAAGC